UAUGGAUACCUGCUGGUAAUUCCAGAGCUAAUACAUGCAUAAAUGCCCGACUUCUUGGAAGGGCAGUAUUUAUUAGAUACAGAACCAAUCCGGCAACGGUCCUUUGGUGAUUCAUAAUAAAUGAACGGAGCGUACAGCAUGCGCUGACGCUGUAUCAUUCAAGUUUCUGACCUAUCAGCUUUCGACGGUAGGGUAUUGGCCUACCGUGGCAUUGACGGGUGACGGAGAAUUAGGGUUCGAUUCCGGAGAGGGAGCCCGAGAAACGGCUACCACAUCUAAGGAGGGCGGCAGGCGCGCAAAUUACCCAUAUCCUGACUCAGGGAGGUAGUGACAAGAAGUAACAAGGCGAUCCACAUUCGUGGUAUUGCUAUUGGGAAUGAGUAUAAUUUAAAUCUCUCUACGAAUGCAAUUGGAGGGCAAGUCUGGUGCCAGCAGCCGCGGUUAUUCCAGCCUCCAAAUAGCGUAUAUUAAAGUUGUUGCGGUUAAAAAGCUCCGUAGUUGGGAUUUCCGUUUGAGGGUGGGCAGUCCCGGACUUCCGUGCNAGUAUUUGGUUCAACCUCCGGAAUCCUCCCUAGGAAACCGUUAAUGGACUUGAAUUGUAGAUACCUUACCUAGGACUUUUAACCUUUAGGAAAUUUAAAGUGUUCAACGGCAAGGCGAAUCCGCCUUUGAAUAUGUUAGCAUGGAAUAAUAAGUAUAAGACCUCCGGUUUUAUUUUGGUUGGGUUCCAAGAAANCCAAGGUAAUGAUUAAUAGGGACAAUUUGGGGGUAUCCAAA
rnacentral:rRNA from 1 species